UUUUUUUGACAGUUGGCUUCCUUUUGGGUCAGGUCACACGUGGAGUUUGAGCCCCAGCUUGUGUCCCAGGCAGCUCAGUUAGUCCUUGGACCUCCCCUGUGC